UACUACAGCCAUACUACCCCGAACAAGCCUGAUCUCAUCUGAUCCGGAAGCUAAGCAGAGUUGGGCCUGGAUGGGAGACCAUCUAGAAAUACUAGAUGUUAUUUUAAUCAGGUGCUGUAGGUA
rnacentral:rRNA from 1 species